rnacentral:rRNA from 1 species
UGGGGAAUUUUGGACAAUGGGCGAAAGCCUGAUCCAGCAAUGCCGCGUGUGUGAAGAAGGCCUUCGGGUUGUAAAGCACUUUUGUCCGGAAAGAAAUCCUCUGGGUUAAUACCUCGGGGGGAUGACGGUACCGGAAGAAUAAGCACCGGCUAACUACGUGCCAGCAGCCGCGGUAAUACGUAGGGUGCAAGCGUUAAUCGGAAUUACUGGGCGUAAAGCGUGCGCAGGCGGUUUUGUAAGACGGAUGUGAAAUCCCCGGGCUUAACCUGGGAACUGCAUUCGCGACUGCAAGGCUAGAGUAUGGCAGAGGGGGGUAGAAUUCCACGUGUAGCAGUGAAAUGCGUAGAGAUGUGGAGGAAUACCGAUGGCGAAGGCAGCCCCCUGGGCCAAUACUGACGCUCAUGCACGAAAGCGUGGGGAUCAAACA